rnacentral:rRNA from 1 species
UUCAGCGGCGGACGGGUGAGUAAUGCCUAAGAAUCUGCCUGGUAGUGGGGGAUAACGUCCGGAAACGGGCGCUAAUACCGCAUACGUCCUGAGGGAGAAAGUGGGGGAUCUUCGGACCUCACGCUAUCAGAUGAGCCUAGGUCGGAUUAGCUAGUUGGUGGGGUAAAGGCCUACCAAGGCGACGAUCCGUAACUGGUCUGAGAGGAUGAUCAGUCACACUGGAACUGAGACACGGUCCAGACUCCUACGGGAGGCAGCAGUGGGGAAUAUUGGACAAUGGGCGAAAGCCUGAUCCAGCCAUGCCGCGUGUGUGAAGAAGGUCUUCGGAUUGUAAAGCACUUUAAGUUGGGAGGAAGGGCAGUAAGUUAAUACCUUGCUGUUUUGACGUUACCAACAGAAUAAGCACCGGCUAACUUCGUGCCAGCAGCCGCGGUAAUACGAAGGGUGCAAGCGUUAAUCGGAAUUACUGGGCGUAAAGCGCGCGUAGGUGGUUCAGCAAGUUGGAUGUGAAAUCCCCGGGCUCAACCUGGGAACUGCAUCCAAAACUACUGAGCUAGAGUACGGUAGAGGGUGGUGGAAUUUCCUGUGUAGCGGUGAAAUGCGUAGAUAUAGGAAGGAACACCAGUGGCGAAGGCGACCACCUGGUACUGAUACUGACACUGAGGU